GGCGAUGUAGCUCAGUGGUUAGAGCGUUCCCCGGCAACUCAUGUUGACGAAACCGGCUUCGUGCCGAGAAUGAAAAGACCACCACUCCCGCCGGUAGCACGCAGACAGUCCGUUCCCGCUAGCAAUACGCAGAUUGCCGUCUUGAUGACCUUGUCACGGGGAAAGGUCCCUGGUUCGAAUCCAGGCAUCGCUA
rnacentral:tRNA from 2 species